ACAGACCUUGCUAUUCGAAAGUCUUCUUAAAUUAUAUUUUUCAUUUCUUCUCGUCAUUUUCCAAUAUUCGUCCAUUCUGGUGGAACCGAGGAACGAGAGAAGCAUUUGAUAAGUGUGGACAAUAGGCGUGUGGCGCUCCAGGACCGCGUUGUAUCAAUCUUUUCGGCUCUGCGUGUCCUAGAUCGGUCAUGCCCUGAGGUGUGUGCCCUCUGCCACUCCAUCUGCCCUUUGAGAGCAGCGCAGUGUUUCAUGUCAACCUGA
rnacentral:lncRNA from 12 species